rnacentral:tRNA from 1 species
GGUAGGCUGGCUGAGGGAUCAGGCGGCGGAUUGUAGCUCCGAGUACAGAGGUUUAAAUCCUCUUUCUACCA